rnacentral:lncRNA from 1 species
UUUUGGUUUUCAUAUUAGGACGCGGUGGGGGCAAUCGAUAAUACUCACAUUCUAGCAAAUGUCCCCGUAGAGGAACAAGCGAGAUAUCACAAUAGAAUGCAAAUGAUAACUCAGAAUGUUUUGAUUGCUUGUACAUUUGAUAUGAAGUUUACGUAUGUGCUUGCCGGUUGGGAGAGAUCCUCACAUGAAGGUUGGUUGUUAAGGAGUACAAUUUUACGACAAGGUCAUAAGCUAACAAUUCCUAUAAGUAAUAUCUAUUUCUUGUUCGAUAAUUUGUCUUUCAGCUCUUUCAAUAACAAACUUCACCUUAACAACCAUGUGUAGAAUAGGUACAUGUUAUCUUGUCGAUGCCAGAUUUCCAUUGGUUCUAGGAUUUCUAGCACCCUACCGUCAGACUCAGUACCAUCGUAGAGACAUUGAGGGACAUCGGCCUAAAAGCAAGAAAGAGCUAUUUAAUUUUCUACAUUCAUGUCUACGAAAUGUUAUAGAGAUGAUUAUUGGUCUGUCUAAAAAAAAUUCGCAUAUCUGAAACAUCAACCAUACCACGACAUUGAGAGACAAGGAUUGUCCUUGCUUGUUGUGUCAUUCACAACUUCUUAAGAAUUCAUGACGCAUAGGAUUUUCGUGACAAGGACUAUUGUAGUAGCGAUGAUGAGGUUAACCCUGAAGAUGAACUCGAAGAUGACACACUAAAUGCUCCUAUAUCAUUCUCUACAUGGUCCAGGAAUAGGGAUACGAUGGCUGAUGACAUGUGGGCUGCUUACCAUCCAAGUCAUGAUGCAGGAAUUGACUUCGAUUGAAUCUACCAUGUUUAUUUCAUUAUUUGUGUUUUUCCUGUAAUUUUAGGAGAAAAACGUGCUAGUGUUCUUGUCUCGUUCCAAGGUUUCUUCUAUACAUGUCCUAUUGUAACAAUGUCUUCGAUACUUCUUUUGUUGUAAUGUUGUAUUAUUUCCAAGGCUAUGUACAUUUGCAUCUAUGAUAUAGUGGCAAAUCUCUUUGCUAGGAAUAACAUAUAUCGUUGUUAGAUUGUAUUCAAGCAAUACUGUUGUUCCUUCUAGUUAUGCUAAUAUUGACCUUUUUUUUUCAAGUGAUAGCGUUGAUGGCACUCAAUCGACUAAGCUCUACAGCCCUUUUCGACUUGUCCGAACACCUGGCUUUACUUCGGACGAGCAUGGCAUCGACUUUGGUGGAUCGCAAGUGGAUCCUGAUGCUAGGACUCGUCAUAUACGUUAGAGUGAUGAAAUUGAUAGUUUUAUGAUCACUGCACUUGUUGAACAAGUGUUGGUUGGGCACAAAUGAAGUGACAAUGACUUCACUUCAUUUCAAGUGUCUAAGGCAAUUAACAAGGUUGUCAAUGGGUGUGGGGUAAUGGUCUCAUAUAAGAAUGUGAGGGCAAGGUUGAAGACUCUUAAAAGAGAGUAUGCUGAAGUUCGCCAAUUGCUUAAUAUGAGCAGAUUUGGCUUGAAUACCGAAACUAGACGCGAUAUGAGUUGGAGUCGAUGUCGUUGCUUGGGAUGACUUUAUUAAGGUACAAAUUAGGAUGCAUCUCUCACAUCGCUAUUAAUAGCUAAUGGAUAUAUACCAUUAGGCCUGGGACAAUUUAUACACUUACAGGGUCAUUUUGCAGUGGAAGCCAGAAUCUGGAAAGUGGAGGACCAAACUUUGUCCAAGAUAUGAUGAGAUGGAGAUUAUAUUCGGCAAUGAUAUAGCCACUGGAGAUUGCGCAGUGUCUGGCUUCGACCAUUUCUCCCCAGUGAUGGUUAUGCAAUAUAUAUUUACAAUACGAUACUUUGAUUAUAUUCAUGUAUGAACGUCUAAAAAGUUAUCUCUUUUAUGUAGUAAUUGAUGAAAGUAUGAAUGAGGUAAAUAUGAAAAAUUUGGAGAUGGAUCCCAGCCCAGUUCGUGCUCGUAAGCGUACCGUCGAAGAAGGAACCUACAAAGUCAAGCGUCGAAGUGCACAACCAAUAGAUGAGAGUACUUCGCCCUAUUGAGGAUUGCCGAUUCAUCUACAAAAAUUGCUCAAGCUAUGGAAAUGCAAGCUACGCUAGAUACACUGAGUCAUGUCAACUGGUAGUUGAUUCUAGAGAAGCUAGAAGCCAUGAACCUAGAAAUGGACGAUAUUAUACAAGUCAUGAAAGUGUUUCGAUCCGAUGAUGGUUUGGCUAAGGUAUUUAUGAACUUGACGAGUACAAAAUAAAAGCGUGCUUUGGUGUUUGAUAAGCUUAGUCGUGAUUCACCUUCACUACCUUAGCUUGCACAUGACUUAUGGCAUUAGUAUGUAUUAACUUGUAUGUAUUUGGAAAACUUAAUCCACAUAAGUAGAACUUUGAAUUAUUUUUUGUAACGUAGUCACGUAACAAAUAGUGUGAAGUGUUUUAUAACAUAUUGUGUGGAUGUGUUUUGUCUGUAUGUGGGAAACAUUAGUCCACCUAAAUUUUUUUUGGUAACACACACAAGUAACUAGUGUACAGUGUUUUGUAACACUUGAUGAUACUUGCAUAUGAUAAUAACUAGUGUGCAGUGUUUUGUAAC